GGGGAUUUAGCUCAGUGGCAGAGCACUUGCCUAGCAAGCACAAGGCCCUGGGUUCGUUCCCCAGCUCCG
rnacentral:tRNA from 1 species